AUCCCCCUGACGAGUCCCGAAUAGGACGAAACAUGCAUCGUAGAU
rnacentral:hammerhead_ribozyme from 1 species